GGCCAGGCGCCCCAGAAACAAGCUGGUUUUGGUUGGGCUUGAACUCACGACCCUGAGAUCAAGAGUCUCAUGUUCUGCUGAACAGAGCCAGCCCAGCGCUCCAUCCCUGAAUUCAUCUCGGGAUGUCCAUUAAGAAAUCUGUCUGCGACGUCAACAGCACGAAAACCCUGCGCAGAUCAAAACCCUUCUCUAGCUUAAAGGUUACACAAUUCACUUCGCACCUCGCGUUUGAACUCAACCUGGACUGCUCUGCUGGUCUUGGCGUGCGGCUGUGAGGACGGAGACAGAAGAGUUCUGGCUGGCGUGACCUGUGCGGAGAAGGGAGUUGCAGUUUUCUGACAUUAAAUAUUAACACUGGGGAUUAAUAAUGAAGGCUGACAGUUCCUUUCUUGGUAUUUCUGAGCGUGUCUCUCCCCAGCCUGCAAGGCCAGCAGGCCCAGGCCCUUCCCCUGCCCGAGCCAUGUGGCCGGAGGCCCCUGCUCUCUGAGGUCAGGAGAGGUAAGGAAAACAACCCUCUUGUCACCCAGAGGGGCAGGAGUGCCUGCCUGGGCCACUGUGCGCGGCUCCAGGCUUGUCCUCAUCCUCCCCGGUGACAGGAAAACAGCUGGUGGCGGAGGGAAAAACAGGAGGUGGAUGCGGGGCGGGGGGUGGGGAACCUGAGGAGGAGAGAGGCUUGUGGCCAAAAGAGAAGGGGGACUAGGGGUCCCUGUGCAUGGAAGUGUUGCCCUGAGGAGAGCUCACGUACAACCCAACACCUCGUCAGCUCAGCCCCCGCUCCCUGAGCCUUACAGCUUUCUUAUGAGCUGAAUGGUACCCCCCUUUUCCGGGCGAGGAGGCCUCAGACUGGUUUUGGGGAGGGGUAGUGACGUCAGUGCCAUGCACACCCGGGUCGCACAGACCCUGACCUUACCGCUCUCGCCUCGUGCUCUCGCCUCCAGCUUCCCUGAUGCCCCAGGUCCCAGCUGUGCUAGCCGCCAGGCCUGCUGAACUCUGGUGACCCAUGAGCCAAGGAACAUCACGGCAGCCUUGAACUUACGCGCAGGGAGCUGGACCGGCUGAAGUCUGUGCUGGACAAUUAGACACGCAGCAAUCUUUUACGUAAUAAAAGGUACAAGGA